rnacentral:lncRNA from 1 species
GUACUAAAAGUGCAACUCAUCCAGACGAAUCAUCUGGAUGACUUUAAGAAAUUUAGACUUAAUUUUAAAAUUCUGUAGGCUGAUCCAAAUUGAACCAUCUGGAUAGAGAUGGUUCUGUCAUAAUGAUAUAAUGUCUAUUAUACCUUUGAUGUAAAAUUAUAAACCUAAAUAUAAUAUCAUUUUGUCACAUAUGAAAAAUGACAAAACCACAAAAACGCAUUUUCCUGUUGAAACCUAAAACGCAUUUUCCCAUCAAAACCAUAAAAACUCAUUUUCCCGCAAAAAUUGCAAGAAUACACUUUUCCACCAAAAUUGCAAAAACGCGUUUUU